rnacentral:rRNA from 1 species
UACGUAGGGUGCAAGCGUUGUCCGGAAUUAUUGGGCGUAAAGAGCUCGUAGGCGGUUUGUCGCGUCUGCUGUGAAAACUCGGGGCUUAACUCCGGGCCUGUAGUGGGUACGGGCAGACUAGAGUGCGGUAGGGGAGACUGGAAUUCCUGGUGUAGCGGUGGAAUGCGCAGAUAUCAGGAGGAACACCGGUGGCGAAGGCGGGUCUCUGGGCAGUAACUGACGCUGGAGGAGCGAAAGCGUGGGGAGCGAACAGG